CAGCCGCCGCGGUAAUACGUAGGGUGCAAGCGUUAAUCGGAAUUACUGGGCGUAAAGCGUGCGCAGGCGGUUAUAUAAGACAGAUGUGAAAUCCCCGGGCUCAACCUGGGAACUGCAUUUGUGACUGUAUAGCUAGAGUACGGCAGAGGGGGAUGGAAUUCCGCGUGUAGCAGUGAAAUGCGUAGAUAUGCGGAGGAACACCGAUGGCGAAGGCAAUCCCCUGGGCCUGUACUGACGCUUAUGCACGAAAGCGUGGGGAGCAAACAGGAUUAGAUACCCCAGUAGUCCCUGUCUCUUAUAC
rnacentral:rRNA from 1 species